UAGGGAAUCUUCCGCAAUUGGGCGAAAGCCUGACGGAGCAAUGCCGCGUGAGUGAUGAAGGUUUUCGGAUCGUAAAGCUCUGUUGCCAGGGAAGAACGCUUGGGAGAGUAACUGCUCUCAAGGUGACGGUACCUGAGAAGAAAGCCCCGGCUAACUACGUG
rnacentral:rRNA from 1 species